rnacentral:miRNA from 40 species
UGUAACAGCAACUCCAUGUGGA